ensembl:lncRNA
CUACAUUUCCCAAGACCCCCUUCAGUCAACAUGUUUGAAUACUCACAUCAGAGCAGCAUUUUCUUGUUCAAUGAGUUGUUGCUUCUCCUCCAUGGAUUUGACACAAGCUUCAAAAACAACAACAACAAACAACUUUAAGAAGUUACCGGAGCAGUUUCCCAACCACCAUUAUGCUACAGAAAUGCUGGAACAACAGCACGGACAACCAAACGUCCUUUGGGAAGCAGAUCGCAUUUGGAUUGGGUUUUGUUCGGGCUGAGAUUCCAGAAAAUUCCGAAGACUCUAUGUUCCAGCUCUGACGCGGCUCACCUUCCCCUCUCGAUUACUCACUUAAAUCCCUUCCUUCACCUCAUCAAGAAGCGUAUGAAUAAUAAAUCAUCUUUAAAAUU